ensembl:lncRNA
AAAAAAACCAUGUCGGACCUCGCAACAGUAACUAAGGGGUGCGGCUUGAUAAUGUCUCUAUUAUGACGUCACAAAGCAUGCAUUUAAAAAAUAGAGUCUUGUGUAUUUUGGUUCAGUCAUCGAUAUGGAUGUGUAUCAAGAAGUAGGUGUACCGGAGUUUGGUGCUCCUUGGCCCGCCAUGACGAUGCCCGAACAAGGAGUGAUUGGCCAAUUUACCAUUUUCUUCGCGCUUUUUCUUGGAGGACUAAAGGAUUUUCUCUUCUCUCUAGAAGAGGAAUGGUUUGGAGCAACCCAUCCUGGAGUGGGAUGGGAGCUCACUCUCCCUGCUGCCCUGGUUGUUUUUGGUGUGAUAUUACUAUGGAGGACCGUCCUUGCGAUCAAAAGCAGGAUACGUCUAUUUGAAGGACUAUGACGCACCAGUGAAAAGGUUGCGGGCAUGCCUGCAGUCCUCUCAAGAGGAUAGUCAGGAGCUGGAGGUAAGCAGUCAGAGAACUAUUAUUCCUCAACCCC